AGCAGUCGCCACGGUAAUACAGAGGGUGCGAGCGUUAAUCGGAUUUACUGGGCGUAAAGCGUGCGUAGGCGGCUUCUUAAGUCGGAUGUGAAAUCCCUGAGCUUAACUUAGGAAUUGCAUUCGAUACUGGGAAGCUAGAGUAUGGGAGAGGAUGGUAGAAUUCCAGGUGUAGCGGUGAAAUGCGUAGAGAUCUGGAGGAAUACCGAUGGCGAAGGCAGCCAUCUGGCCUAAUACUGACGCUGAGGUACGAAAGCAUGGGGAGCAAACAGGAUUAGAUACCCCCGUAGUCCCUGUCUCUUAUAA
rnacentral:rRNA from 1 species